rnacentral:rRNA from 1 species
AUUGAACGCUGGCGGCAGGCCUAACACAUGCAAGUCGAGCGGAUAAAGGGAGCUUGCUCCUGGAUUCAGCGGCGGACGGGUGAGUAAUGCCUAGGAAUCUGCCUGGUAGUGGGGGAUAACGUCCGGAAACGGGCGCUAAUACCGCAUACGUCCUGAGGGAGAAAGUGGGGGAUCUUCGGACCUCACGCUAUCAGAUGAGCCUAGGUCGGAUUAGCUAGUUGGUGGGGUAAAGGCCUACCAAGGCGACGAUCCGUAACUGGUCUGAGAGGAUGAUCAGUCACACUGGAACUGAGACACGGUCCAGACUCCUACGGGAGGCAGCAGUGGGGAAUAUUGGACAAUGGGCGAAAGCCUGAUCCGGCCAUGCCGCGUGUGUGAAGAAGGUCUUCGGAUUGUAAAGCACUUUAAGUUGGGAGGAAGGGCAGUAAGUUAAUACCUUGCUGUUUUGACGUUACCAACAGAAUAAGCACCGGCUAACUUCGUG